GUCUACAGCCAUACUACCCUGAACACACCCGAUCUUGUCUGAUCUCGGAAGCUAAGCAGGGUCGGUUAUGGUUAGUACUUGGAUGGGAAACCACCUAGGAAGACUGGGUGCUGUAAGCA
ensembl:rRNA 5S_rRNA 5S ribosomal RNA